UAGAGCGAGGGGCGGA
rnacentral:tRNA from 1 species